GAUGAACGCUGGCGGCGUGCCUAAUACAUGCAAGUCGAGCGAACAGACGAGGAGCUUGCUCCUCUGACGUUAGCGGCGGACGGGUGAGUAACACGUGGAUAACCUACCUAUAAGACUGGGAUAACUUCGGGAAACCGGAGCUAAUACCGGAUAAUAUAUUGAACCGCAUGGUUCAAUAGUGAAAGACGGUUUUGCUGUCACUUAUAGAUGGAUCCGCGCCGCAUUAGCUAGUUGGUAAGGUAACGGCUUACCAAGGCAACGAUGCGUAGCCGACCUGAGAGGGUGAUCGGCCACACUGGAACUGAGACACGGUCCAGACUCCUACGGGAGGCAGCAGUGGGGAAUCUUCCGCAAUGGGCGAAAGCCUGACGGAGCAACGCCGCGUGAGUGAUGAAGGUCUUCGGAUCGUAAAACUCUGUUAUUAGGGAAGAACAAAUGUGUAAGUAACUAUGCAUGUCUUGACGGUACCUAAUCAGAAAGCCACGGCUAACUACGUG
rnacentral:rRNA from 1 species